GGCCGGUUAGCUCAGCUGGUUAGAGCGUGGUGCUAAUAACGCCAAGGUUCUGGGUUCGAUCCCCAUACUGGCCA
rnacentral:tRNA from 1 species